rnacentral:rRNA from 1 species
GCUUGUCUCAAAGAUUAAGCCAUGCAUGUCUAAGUAUAAAUAGUAUACAGUGAAACUGCGAAUGGCUCAUUAAAACAGUUAUAGUUUAUUUGAUAAUUGAAAAUUACAUGGAUAACCGUGGUAAUUCUAGAGCUAAUACAUGCUGGUUAGCCUGACUUUUAGGAAGGGCUGUAUUUAUUAGAUAACAAACCAAUAUUCCUCGUGUCUAUUGUGAUGACUCAUAAUAACUGAUCGAAUCGCAUGGGCCUUGCCCGCGAUACAUCAUUCAAGUUUCUGCCCCAUCAGCUUUCGAUGGUAGUGUAUUGGACUACCAUGGCUUUAACGGGUAACGGAGGAUUAGGGUUCGAUUCCGGAGAGGGAGCCUGAGAAACGGCUACCACAUCUAAGGAAGGCAGCAGG